CCCCUCGGCUGGAAGUAAAAAACGUAACAAGGUUUCCGUAGGUGAACCUGCGGAAGGAUCAUUACCUAGAGUUGUAGGCUUUGCCUGCUAUCUCUUACCCAUGUCUUUUAAGUACCUUACGUUUCCUCGGCGGGUCCGCCCGCCGAUUGGACAAUUUAAACCAUUUGCAGUUGCAAUCAGCGUCUGAAAAAACUUAAUAGUUACAACUUUCAACAACGGAUCUCUUGGUUCUGGCAUCGAUGAAGAACGCAGCGAAAUGCGAUAAGUAGUGUGAAUUGCAGAAUUCAGUGAAUCAUCGAAUCUUUGAACGCACAUUGCGCCCCUUGGUAUUCCAUGGGGCAUGCCUGUUCGAGCGUCAUUUGUACCUUCAAGCUCUGCUUGGUGUUGGGUGUUUGUCUCGCCUCUGCGUGUAGACUCGCCUCAAAACAAUUGGCAGCCGGCGUAUUGAUUUCGGAGCGCAGUACAUCUCGCGCUUUGCACUCAUAACGACGACGUCCAAAAGUACAUUUUUACACUCUUGACCUCGGAUCAGGUAGCUGCCCGCC
rnacentral:rRNA from 1 species